CCUACGGGUGGCAGCAGUGGGGAAUAUUGCGCAAUGGGCGAAAGCCUGACGCAGCGACGCCGCGUGAGGGAUGAAGGUCUUCGGAUCGUAAACCUCUGUUAGCAGGGAAGAACGGUCACUGUGCUAAUCAGCAGUGAAUUGACGGUACCUGCAAAGGAAGCACCGGCUAACUCCGUGCCAGCAGCCGCGGUAAUACGGAGGGUGCGAGCGUUAUUCGGAUUUACUGGGCGUAAAGGGCGCGUAGGCGGUAUGUCAAGUCAAGGGUGAAAUCCCCGCGCUCAACGGGGGAACUGCCUUUGAAACUGGCAAACUGGAGUGUGUGAGAGGAUAGUGGAAGUCCAGGUGUAGGGGUGAAAUGCGUAGAUAUCUGGAGGAACAUCAGUGGCGAAGGCGACUAUCUGGCACGUAACUGACGCUGAGGAGCGAAAGCGUGGGUAGCAAACAGGAUUAGAUACCCGUGUAGUC
rnacentral:rRNA from 1 species